rnacentral:rRNA from 1 species
GACGUAGGGCGCGAGCGUUGUCCGGAUUUACUGGGCGUAAAGAGCGCGCAGGCGGUCGUUCAAGUCGCGUGUGAAAGCCCCCGGCUCAACUGGGGAGGGUCACGCGAUACUGAUCGACUCGAAGGCAGGAGAGGGUAGUGGAAUUCCCGGUGUAGUGGUGAAAUGCGUAGAUAUCGGGAGGAACACCAGUGGCGAAGGCGACUUCCUGGCCUGUUCUUGACGCUGAGGCGCGAAAGCUAGGGGAGCAAACGGG